rnacentral:misc_RNA from 1 species
GAUGAAGAACGUAGCGAAAUGCGAUACGUAGUGUGAAUUGCAGAAUUCAGUGAAUCAUCGAAUCUUUGAACGCACAUUGCACCUCUCGGUAUUCCGGGAGGUAUGCCUGUUCGAGCGUCAUUUGUACCCUCAAGCUCUGCUUGGUGUUGGGUGUUUGUUCCGCCUCUGUGUGUGAACUCGCCUCAAAACAAUUGGCAGCCGGCGUACUUGUUUCGGAGCGCAGCACAUUUUGCGAUCCAGAUCAACGUACAGCGGCAUCCAAGAAGCCUUAUUUAACGCUCUUGACCUCGGAUCAGGUAGGAAUACCCGCUGAACUUAAGCAUAUCAUAAGCGGAGGA